rnacentral:rRNA from 1 species
UUCCAAGCUACUAAGGGCCAACGGUGAAUGCCUUGGCGCCUACUACCGAAGAAGGACGUGGACGGCUGCGAAAAGCCACGGUGAGCUGCCUAUCGAGCUCUGACCCGUGGAUGUCCGAAUAGGGAAACCUGGUACCCGUCAUGGGGUACCACGCCGGUCUGAACACAUAGGGCCGGCCGAGGGAACCGGGCGAACUGAAACAUCUCAGUAACCCGAGGAAUGGAAAGCAACAGCGACUCCCCGAGUAGCGGCGAGCGAAACGGGAAGAGCCUAAACCGAGUCUGUGCCAAGCCUGACGGCGUUGCAGGCCCGGGGUCGUGGGACCGAAUGGGAGGAGCGUCAGAUCCUCCACGGAGUUACAAAUCUGCCAGUUAGCAGAAGUGUUCUGGAAAGGCACGCCGCAGUGGGUAAGAGCCCCGUAUGCGAAAACUGCGCAGACUCCGAUUCGUGUUCCCGAGUAACACCGGAUCCGGGAAAGCCGGUGUGAAUCCGCGAGGACCACCUCGUAAGGCUAAGUAUAGGUAGGCGACCGAUAGUGAACUAGUACCGUGAGGGAAAGGUGAAAAGUACCCCGGGAGGGGAGUGAAAUAGUACCUGAAACCGUUGGUCUACAAUCAGUCAAAGCGUCGUCUCGAGCUUGCUCGAGGCCGCGAUGGCGUGCCUUUUGAAGAAUGAGCCAACGAGUUACGGUGUGUGGCAAGGUUAACCCGUGAGGGGAAGCCGGAGCGAAAGCGAGUCUGAACAGGGCGUUCAGUCGCAUGCUGUAGACCCGAAGCCGAGUGAUCUAUCCAUGGGCAGUGUGAAGCGGGGGUAAGACCCCGUGGAGGCGCGAACCGACCUAGGUUGAAAACUGGGCGG